rnacentral:tRNA from 1 species
GGGGCGUGUGGCUCAGUGGUAGAGCGUCCGCUUUGCAUUCCUCAUGAAGCAUGCGGAAGGUCCGGGUUUCGAUCACCCGCCCGUCCA